rnacentral:misc_RNA from 1 species
AAAAAUAUCAAUGGCCCCCAAUCAUCCAGCCCCCUGUAUCAACUGCCAAUACUUCCUCGUCUCCCUCUCGUUGCUUUGUGUUCUGCCUCUCUGCAGCAGUCGUAUCCACUCUUAAUAGCUUCCAUUGCUCUCCUCUAACGACCCUCUACCCAUAACUCUAAUCCUUUCCUCACCACCAUUGAACACACAAUUGUGGCAUGGCUAUGCAUCCAACAUUGAUGGAUAUGGAUUGCAGACCUCCAAGUGUCUUAA